GGCGAACGGGUGAGUAACACGUGAGUAACCUGCCCCUGACUCUGGGAUAAGCGUUGGAAACGACGUCUAAUACUGGAUACGACUGCCGGCCGCAUGGUCUGGUGGUGGAAAGAUUUUUUGGUUGGGGAUGGACUCGCGGCCUAUCAGCUUGUUGGUGAGGUAAUGGCUCACCAAGGCGACGACGGGUAGCCGGCCUGAGAGGGUGACCGGCCACACUGGGACUGAGACACGGCCCAGACUCCUACGGGAGGCAGCAGUGGGGAAUAUUGCACAAUGGGCGAAAGCCUGAUGCAGCAACGCCGCGUGAGGGAUGACGGCCUUCGGGUUGUAAACCUCUUUUAGUAGGGAAGAAGCGAAAGUGACGGUACCUGCAGAAAAAGCACCGGCUAACUACGUGCCAGCAGCCGCGGUAAUACGUAGGGUGCAAGCGUUGUCCGGAAUUAUUGGGCGUAAAGAGCUCGUAGGCGGUUUGUCGCGUCUGCUGUGAAAUCCCGAGGCUCAACCUCGGGCUUGCAGUGGGUACGGGCAGACUAGAGUGCGGUAGGGGAGAUUGGAAUUCCUGGUGUAGCGGUGGAAUGCGCAGAUAUCAGGAGGAACACCGAUGGCGAAGGCAGAUCUC
rnacentral:rRNA from 1 species